rnacentral:lncRNA from 1 species
AAACAAGACGAGAAGGAGAAGUUUGUGUCUUAUCUUAUGGAGGGAAAAAUCAUUCUCCUUUGCCUUAUGGUGAUUGUGCAACUAGGCAUAGGCAAUCCCAUUCAUAUUGGUACGAAAUUGAUCUCCUUUCUCCUACAUGUCUAUAUUUUCAGCAGACCUGCACGAAUUUCAUUGCAAUGUUUCACAAUUUGGACUUACCUCAAUGAUGCAUGUUCUUGUCUACAGAUGAUUGCGUGAAGGUGAUUGCUUUUACAGCCGCUGAAUGCUCAACAUUAGAUUGCCGGAGAUCCUGCCAGGAUUCCUGGGAAGAACACGUCUAUAGAGCUUAUUGUAGGGCUGGCGAAACUCAGCAAUAUUGUUACUGCUUUAUUUGUGAUGAAAAGUGAUUGUUGCUGGUACCCAUCACGCCAAUCAAUGGACAGUGAUGUGAUUCAAUAAUAAAAUAUUCUUGUGACAAUGUGUAUUGAUCGCCAAUUUUGAUUGUUCUACUUUGUUUUUCUAUUACGAGAUUUUUCCAAUAAUAAAACAGCCUUGAUUUUUUCGUGAUUACGAGAUUUCCUUUGUUUGCAUGGCCUCACGGUUACAACAUGAAUGAACAAAGAUUACAGUAUCGACACUCCCAAUUCUAAUGGUUUUCUGAUGCGAUGAGAGCGGCUGCUUCGUCUUCAUCAGGGACUUAUCACCCGGCGACUUCACUUGGAAAUACUAUACUAUUAGGAGCUUGAGAAGGGAUUACAGUUUACCAAUAUUACCACUUUUAUUUAUUUUGCUUUUCUCAAGCACUUUUGAAAUGAGCACAAUUUCCGGCCAAAAAAUUGACCCUUUCACAUUCUGACAUGGCUCUGUCACAUUUCAAACAAGGAAAACAAGUGUAAG